CUACCUACUCCUCCAUUGGCGCUAGUAGCGUCCACAUAACCAACCACUCCUCCGCUGUUGCUAGCACCAUUUCCAUUGUGGUUAUUAUCGUGUGUUGUCUCCAUUUCACCACAAUGAAUGUAAACCAUCAACACAUAGAUUACCUACCUUAUAUACAUAUGUAUUACCGUUAGACUUCCUAUCAUGGUUAUGAUCCCAACCGUUAGAUGUAGGGCGUACAAUAUUCUUAUUCCUUAUUAUUAUCCCUACCGUUAGAUGUAGGGCGUACAAUAUUCUUAUUCCCUACACCACAAGUGAUAUAAAGGAUGUUUUCAUAUAUUUUUAAGUUAUUAUUCAACAAAAAGGAUUUUUCAUCCUCUUUGUUAAACUAAUUUGCACUUGUCCCUUUUUUUAAACAUGAUUAUUUGUUUUAAUCAUUUUAAGUGAAUUUACUCUGAUAUUGAAAAUCAUCCAAGCGCCUGAAUUAUUUGGCAUAGAAAAAAAUGAUAUGAGAUAUGUUUUGUUAUUUAGCAUUCAACCAGAAAAUGAAAAAAAAAAUCAUGAUAUUUCAUUUUAUAAACGUCAAACAUACAUUGUGACAAUAUUCUUUCUAGGCAAGGCAAGACAAUUGUGGUCGGAAUGUUUUCAUAUCAUGGUUCUUGCAUGAUUUUGACUUCGUCAAAACACAAAACAAACUGUACAAGUUAUUGACCACAUGUACAUGUAACAAAUACAACAAUUUAAAGAACAUGAUAAUUGACACUAUUUAGCAAAAAAAAGUUAUUUCGAUUAUGAGAGAAAGGGUAAAAUGAGAACCAUCUUAAGUUGUGAGAACCAUGAGAACUAGCCAUUCCAAAAGUUUUUUUCAAAAAAAAAAAUCUCAAAAAUCUAAAAAAAAAAAAUCACUUGUUCUAGCAAAAAAUAAAAAAAUAAGAAAAUGUCGCAUGCAAAAAUCUAGAUCGGGUGUAUAAAACUUUUGUUGGUGAUGUAAAAAAAAUUACAUCGCCAUAAACAAAUUUUACAUUAGGCGUAAUUAUCGACUCGACAAAUUUUUUUAUAGAUAUUUUAUAACAUUUUCAUCCACGUUUGUGCAAAAAAUGUUGGCCCAACUCGCGCGGGAAGUAGGAGUUCUCACAACUCGUGAUAGGUCUUAAUUGAACCGAAUCCUAUAUAUAAAGGUUAACGUACAAUAGUCCCUUAAUGUGCGAAGCUUACACGACUAAAUUAUGCAUAUUAUAAAAUUCAAACCCUAAUCAUGCAUAGUUUGACGCAAAAUCACGCAUGAACGAACACACAAAAAUCACGCACACAGUAACCUUUAUCAUGCAUGGGCUGAACACAAUCAUGCAUGAACAAGCACACACAAAUCACACUUGGAGUAAACAAACACACAUAAAUCACGCAUACAGUAACCCCUAAUCACGCACGUUAUUUUAUGGUCGUGUACACUUUGCAAGUUAAGUGAAUUUUGUAUUUUAAACUUUUUCUACAUAUAUUGUAUAUUCAAAUUUUAAAUGCAUUAUCUUUAUUAACUACUUUUCUUUUCAAACUCAAAACCUGAUUGUUGUUUUAUAUACUGACCAUUUGUUUUUAUCUUUUGAACCAAUUCACUCUUACAAGUAACUAGAAGUUAUAAAAUAGGCUAUCGGUUAUUAUUAUUGGUUUUGAACCAAUUCACUCUUACAAGUAACUAGAAGUUAUAAAAUAGGCUAUCGGUUAUUAUUAUUGGUAGUAUUUUAUACCCAUAUCGCCAUAUAAGUUACAACAUUAGAUUCUGGCACUUCAUCUUAAUAAAUUAACAAAUAAUAGAAAUAACAGCCGAUCAUACUAUAAAACAUUUAUCACAUGUGCACGGGCCAAUGUAUGUAGGCUUAGUUAUGGUUGAUGGGCCACCUUUUAUGGGAUGCUUUGUUUCAUGAAAGAUGCGUUGUUCUUCACGGGUUGUGAGUUUGGCACACAACAAAAACAUGACACAAGAGUUUGUGGGUUUGGGUCUAACCCCUAAAUCCAUUUAGCAAAAUGAGCCGUGUCUGUGUCAACGCGGUGGGUAGACCUGGCAAACGGGUUGGGUUUGGUCGGGUCGGGUCAUGGGUCAAAACGGGUUCGGGUCAGAACGGGUUUCGGGUAGGAACGGGUUUCAGGUCUGGUUCGUUAAAAAUGCUUUUUUAAACAGAUUGUACCUCAAGGGGUAAUUUUGUUCGGUUCGAAAUGGUACUGGUCGAAACGGUACAGGUUGAAACGGUCCGCGUCGAAACGGUUCGAUUCGAAACGGUUCGGUUCGGAACGGUACUGGUCGAAACGGUACGCGUCGAAACGGUUCGUGUCGAAGCGGUUCGCAUCGACCCAUAAGCAGGAGUUUUCGCAUUUAUGUAUGCCCGUAAAAGACUAUGAUACUUUUUCAUCAUCGACACAUAACCACCGUCUUGUCUCAUCCUAUGAAAAAUCUUUUCAGCAUUAUGUAUGUCUCCUCUUUUUGCACUGAUCCAUAAUCAACAAAUAAGUCUCAAAAAAGGGUUUCAUACGGUUUUGUUCUGAAGCCCUGCUCAAAAUCGAAUCAUCUUUUUCAAUCUCGCCAGCUUCGAUAUACAGUUUGACCAAAGAGUCCCACGUCAACGGUCCGAUUUGACAACCACUUUCCGCCAUUUGUUUCACCAGACUCUUUCCUUUCGACAACAUUUUGUAGAAACGGUUCGCGUCGAAACGGUAUGGGUCGAAACGGUACGGGUCGAAACGGUUCGGGUCGAAACAGUACAGGUCGAAACGAUUCGAUUCGAAACGGUACUGGUUGAAAAGGUACGUGUCGAAACGGUACGCGUCGAAGCAGUUCGCGUCGAAACGGUAUGCGUCGAAACCCGUCCCGUGCAGAAACUCGUGUCGGCCCGAAACCCUACCCAAACCGACCCCGUUCCGAUCCAAAACCUGCGUGGUGCCGAAACCCGUCUCGGCCCGAAACUCAAUUCGAACUGAACCCGUUUCGAUCCAAAACCCGUCUCGUGCCGUAACCCGUCUCGUGCGGAUACUUGUGCCGGCUCGAAACCCAUUCCGAUCCGAAACCUGCCCCAUUUCUUUAAGACACCAACCCACAUCGACCCAUUUCUUUCCAAAACCCGUUUCGUGCCGUAACCCUUCUCGUGCGGAUACUUGUGCCGGCUUGAAACCCAUUCCGAUUCGAAACCUGCCCCGUUUCUUUAAGACACUAACCCACAUCGACCCAUUUCUUUAAUGUUGUCGAUCUGCUUUGACCCAAAAAUAAAAAGAUGGAAUUUCAAGUGACCAAUUUAGUUAAAGUGUUUACUAUUAAGAUUUUCAAGAUUGGAAACUUCUACUUUUUUUUUUAAUGGAUGGAUUGCUAUGAUUACUGCGUUGAGGAUACCAUCAAAAUCAUGGCUUUUGUUUCGGUAUGAAGAAGCAUUGGGUUGUUUUACUUAUAUCAAGAUGUCGCCUUUGCUCCGUGUGAUUUCUUCUACUACAAACCAGAGAGUAUAAGGAUAAAAAGGAUUAUAUGCAUGUCAAUCGAUUCUUUGUUCAUCACAAGAUAAUGGAUACUGUUUGUGCUUAUCAUGUGGUCAUCAGAUCAGCUUCAAACCGCAAAUGGUUUAUUCGCAUGGAAGAGAAGGAAUAUGAGUUAUACAUAACAACCGACUGGAAUCGUAUUAAGAAGGAGAUGUCGAUCACAAACGACCAUUUGGUAGUGUUUGAGAUUGUUGAUCUUCAGACAUUUAAUAUGACUGUUUUCAAAUGUGCACCUUUCUUUUUUAGUUUAUCCUCCGGAACUCUGUGUUGCUAUGAAAGAAAAACCAAAUCAUGAGGUUAUAAAACUUUCUGAUGAUGAAGCUGCUGAUCAGAUUGCGGAGCUUAAUGUAAACCAGAAUCAGGCUGGUGUGUUUGCUGUUACCAAUCAUAGGUGGUGUUUGUUUUUCUAAAAAAAGAUAUGUGCAGUCUCUUCUGUCUGCGCCGCACAGGCAUUGUCAUCUGCGGACUGUUUUUUUUUCCGAAUACGUUUCAUUAAAAAAUAUCUGCGCAAGCUCGUCUUGGUGCAGACUUGGCCCAACCACUUCUAAGAUCUUUUUGGUGCAGACUUACCACCCACCACUGUCGUCCGUAUACCACCACCUGUUUAUUUUAGAAGUCUACAUACGUUAAAAAAACAAACAACCUUCUUCUUGCAGACUGCAGGGUUUUGGUCCACCUCUUCUUCUACAGAUGUCUGCAAAUUUGGUUUGCAAACUGUAGACAUUUUACCUUUUAAAAGACAAACAAAUGUCACCCAAAAUGAUGAAGGUGUUGCGUUUCGUGUCGACAAUCAUUUUCGGCUUCCUAAACGGUGGGCUCAAGAGAACGGCUUGGAUAAGAAGGUGAGUUCGAAGAUUAUGGCACACUGUUGGUGGAGUUUGGGAUGUUGAAAUUGGUGUGGAGUUUUCUCAAGGCUGUUCGAGGUAUAAAGUUCAAGGAAUGAAAGCAUUUGUUAGAGAUAAACACAUGGCUGUAGGUGAAGUGUUUGAGCUUAGGUUCGUGAAAGCUAAAGGUAUGUUGUGGUUCAACUGAAUGCUUGAAGGUUGCUAAGUAUGUGGAUAGGCUGUUGUGAACAAAGGUUUUUUUUUGUUAGAAUAGUAUAUGCUAGAAAUAUUUAGAAUACAGUUUGUGGUUGUUUUGGGGGGUCAUUAUAAUGAACAAUAUCUGUUGAUAGGUGUGUUGUGAUAGUUUUUUGGUCGGUCCAUGGUUAUGUUUUUUUACGGAAGUUUGAAAAUGGUAUGCAUAAGCUGACAGGCGUGUAAUAGAA